GAGUUUGAUCAUGGCUCAGAGCGAACGCUGGCGGCAGGCUUAACACAUGCAAGUCGAGCGCCCCGCAAGGGGAGCGGCAGACGGGUGAGUAACACGUGGGAACGUACCCUUUGGUUCGGAACAACACAGGGAAACUUGUGCUAAUACCGGAUAAGCCCUUACGGGGAAGAUUUAUCGCCGAAAGAUCGGCCCGCGUCUGAUUAGCUAGUUGGUCGGGGUAAGAGCCCACCAAGGCGAUGAUCGGUAGCUGGUCUGAGAGGAUGAUCAGCCACACUGGGACGUGAGACACGGCCCACGACUCCUACGGGAGGCAGCGGUGGGGAAUUUUGGACAAUGGACGCAAGUCUGAUCCAGCCAUGCCGCGUGCGGGAAGAAGGCCU
rnacentral:rRNA from 1 species